rnacentral:rRNA from 4 species
UGGGGGAUAUUGCGCAAUGGGGGCAACCCUGACGCAGCAACGCCGCGUGAAGGAUGAAGGUUUUCGGAUUGUAAACUUCUUUUAUUAAGGACGAAACUUGACGGUACUUAAUGAAUAAGCUCCGGCUAACUACGUGCCAGCAGCCGCGGUAAUACGUAGGGAGCAAGCGUUGUCCGGAUUUACUGGGUGUAAAGGGUGCGUAGGCGGCUUUGCAAGUCAGAUGUGAAAUCUAUGGGCUCAACCCAUAAACUGCAUUUGAAACUGUAGAGCUUGAGUGAAGUAGAGGCAGGCGGAAUUCCCCGUGUAGCGGUGAAAUGCGUAGAGAUGGGGAGGAACACCAGUGGCGAAGGCGGCCUGCUGGGCUUUAACUGACGCUGAGGCACGAAAGCGUGGGUAGCAAACAGG